rnacentral:misc_RNA from 1 species
GAUGAAGAACGUAGCGAAAUGCGAUAAGUAGUGUGAAUUGCAGAAUUCAGUGAAUCAUCGAAUCUUUGAACGCACAUUGCGCCCUUUGGUAUUCCUUAGGGCAUGCCUGUUCGAGCGUCAUUUAAACCUUCAAGCUCAGCUUGGUGAUGGGUGACUGUCCUCCCUCGCGGGGGGACUCGCCUCAAAAACAUUGGCGGCCGGUACAUUGGCUUCGAGCGCAGCAGAAACGCGGUCUCGAGUCCGGUGGAUCGGCUCCCAUAAGUCUAUUCUUUUAUUUUGACCUCGGAUCAGGUAGGGAUACCCGCUGAACUUAAGCAUAUCAAUAAGCGGAGGA